GAAUAGAGAAUCUAGCAGAUGGUUGCCGUGCCUCCCUCUGUGACAGGUGGGAUAGAAUCAUCUGCAUGAGCACAUCGCUAAAGGUCUUCUUUUUCAUGGGCACAUUUAUUGGCAUACUGUAGAAUGAGCCCUGUACAUUCAAAUAGCAGAGUCGGCCCAGCCCAGAACAGCUCUGGAAAGGAAGACCUUGGCCUUGGCUGUGCCUCACUUAUGACAACAGAGCUGCCCCUCAUCAAAAAGAGGAAAAGGAGAGAAAAUCAGAAAUGCCUGGUCAAAAGCGAAGGUGGGGCAAGCAGACCUGAAGCUAGUCCUUGGGGUAAAUAGUGUUCCUGGAGUUGUGCAGUGGGCAAGUUCUGAGCCCACCUUUGCUGGGGAGGCUCUGGAGCGACAGGCACAGCGAUGGACCCAGGAUGUGAGCUUUCCAGCCUCCGAGCAACUUGGCAUCUGUAUGAGAAAACCCAGUCAGCCCUCAUCUCAGAUGCAGGUGCAACACAUAUGGCCGUCAAGCUGGGCAGACCUGAGUUUGAAUCCUGAGCCUACCGCUCGUUAACUGUUAGACCCUGAAAAAGUGCCUCAACCUCUCUUGAGCCUCCACUUUCCAUACCUGUCAUGUUUAUUUAACAAUACCUACCUCUCAGCAUUUUCAUGAAAGUUUUAAGAUGAUAUUAUUAUGAGUAGCAGCUGUAUAACAGUAAUAAUAACUCAUGUAUACUGAGUGUAUUUAUAUGCCCUGUACUAUGCUGAGAACUUUACAUACAUUACCACAUUACCUGACUUAACCUUCAAAACACCUCUCUGAAGAAUUGCUGUUACAUAACAGCCCCAUUUUACCUGCAAGAAAUGGAAGCUCAGAGUUCUUUGUUGCCCAGGUCACGUGGUUAGCAAAUAGAGUCAGGGUCAGAAUUUGAACCCUGGUCUGCGUGCACCUCCAGCCCACCAAUAUGAGUCUUAAUGAACAAAGUACCUACCAUAUAGUAGACCCUUAACAAAUGGGAGUUCGAGUCCUUUCUUUCUCCCCUAAAUGCACAGAUUUUCACAGUGCCCUCUGAGAUUUGCUUUAGAGCUUGCCCACAUGGAGUUUUCAGAAAGUCAGGAGAAAGCGAGGUGGUGGGUGCAUCCCCCGAUCCAGGGCCCCCUCCCUCCCCCCGCUCAGCCUUCCUUCCUUUUAGGGUUUGGCAAAGGCUGCUUCACUCGAGGCCUCUCAUGGAGCUGGAAACAAUGCGAGUUUAUUUUGGCACGGCAAAGAGGGCCCGAUUCCCCUUCUCUGGACGCCUCUGUGGGAAGAGGACUAGAGAAUGUGGCCCAGGCCGCUGUCAGUUCCCGUUACUCUCCCCAGCACGUCCACGGCCGAGUCACAGCCAUCACAUGUAGCUCUGAGAAGGAAAUGAGAUAAGAGCUUUCUUUCCACUUCAGACUGAUCAUAAAAUUUCCCCUCCUCUCUCCACGCUCCCCCACAAAAAGAAGUUGAACCAAGGACAUGGUGCUGCCGUUAAACUGAAUACUCUUGGCAGAUCUCUUCUCAGUCCUGUGGGGACAUCCUCACCUGGGUAUUUGGCUACCUGUGGCAGAUACGAUAAGCAGGGCCCAUGGCCAGUGUGGUGAUGGAAGUCAUAGACACUCAGAGUGGCAAGGGACUGUCACUGUCCUCUGAUCCCAGCCCCUACCUGGCUUAGAUUCAGAUUCAGCCAGUAUUUAUCAGAUGCCAACCCUGGGCCAAGCCAGGAGUGCUUUUGCAUCUGUUAUUUCAUAUUUCAGAAUCCACGCAAUGUUCUUUGGAAAGGCCUUACUUUCCCAUCUUUACAAAUGUGGAAACUGUGGCUCAGAGAGGUCAAGUAGUUGGCUCAAGAUCAUGACGUGAGUAGGUCAGUGGUAGCACUAGGAUAUGGUCUUCCAGCUCUGAGACCAAGCCCUGUCUGUCCCAGGCACAGGAGGAGUCUCUUCUACAACACUCCAGGUAGAAGAUUCAUCCAGACUUUGAAUUCCUUGGGUGUUCCUUAUUUCUAAGGAAAGUCUCAUCUAAAAUGUUUUUAGGGGUUGAACUAAAACCUACCUCUCUGUCACUUUCAUCUAUGGGUCCUAUAAGUCCUAAAUCUAACUCCAGGCAAACGGAAGAAAGCCAGAGCUCUGCCCUUGGCCAUGUCUGUUCUUCAGAGAUGAGAAGAUGGCCCCAGAUGACCCUUGGCUGCCCCACCCCUGUCCUAGAACCAGCCCUGCCACUUCCUAAAUGUGGACUCAUUUCUUAACAUCUCUGAGUUGCCAUCAGAUGGGGGCGAUUGUGUCUACGUUGCCAGAUGGCUGAGGGACUCAAUGAGAGGAUGUCUCAAAUGCAAUUCCCCCAGAGCCUGCACACAAUUAGCUCUCAGCCAAUGGCAGCUAUUGUUGUUUUAUCGUCAAUAGUAUUUAACCUCUCCAAACCUUGGCUCCUUUUCUAUGGAGUGGGAAUUAUAAUACCUACUUUCGUUUCCCCCAUCAACGCAAGUAGGCAUUCCAAUAAUACCAACUUCACAUGUCUGGGAGGAACGCACAAUGAUGCAGGCAGAGAGGGCUCAGAAACUAUGAAAAGCAGGUCACGUGCUCUGGCACCCUGGCUGCCUUUUUGGGGAGCCUGUUUCCUGAGCCUUCUGUCCUUCACCAGAAUUUUCAGGGUUGUGAUGUUUUUCUCUUCAAAAGCAUCUCCUCUGUAGCCCACUCCCCACCCCCAACAAACUUUUUUAAGCCAAAGAGAAAAAAAAAAAAACCAUACAAAUAGACAAGUGUUUAGUUGGCCAGGUGCAGUGGCUCACGCCUGUAAUCCCAGCACUUUGGGAGGCUGAGGCAGGUGGAUCUCUUGAGGUCAGGAGUUUGAGACCAGCCUGACCAACAUGGUGAAACCCUGUCUCUACUAAAAAUACAAAAAAAGUAGCCGAGUGUGGUGGUGGAUGCCUGUAAUCCCAGCUACUUGGGAGGCUGAGGUGGGAGAAUUGCUUGAACCUGGGAGGUGGAGGUUGCAGUGAGCCGAGAUCAUGCCACUGCACUCCAGCCUGGGUGACAGAGUGAGACUCCGUCUCCAAAAACCAAAAACCAAAACAAAACCAAAAGAAAAGUGUUUUGUCUCUUUUUUGCCUCUGCAUGCACCCUGGGGUCAGCUGGAGUCUUCCCACCCUUUACAAUAUAACAAGGGUGAUUCAAAUCCCCCAUCCUGGAGGUGGUAAAACUCAAAAGACAGUUGAGGGUAGAAGAUGAAAUGGCACGCAUCUCAAAGAUAGAGAGCAGAGAAGGUGUGCAGGUGCGGAAAGGACUGCUAGUGUCCACAGGGAACCCAAGGCCACUGACCUGGAGGGUGGGAGAGAAAUGGGCGGGAAUCGGAGGAUGUUGGGAGAGGGAGGAAGGUGGCCCACACCUCAGCUGGGAGGCCCUAUUGGAGUGCACGGGCCCCUUUGCUUGAAAUCCAGGAGAAGGGGGCUCCUGAGGCUAGAAUUUGUGUAGUUCUUAAAAGUUUUCAGAAGCACAUUUUCCCCUGUAGAUUCUUUCCUGGAACAAUCCCACCAAGCCUGCAAAGUAAGGAAGGAAAUUGAACACGCCCCUCCUGAGCUCCUCAGGUGCACCUCGUGCUGCUGUCCCGGGGCCAUCUCCCAACUCCUCCCAACCCCUCAUAGCCCUGCUCUGGAGCAGGUAAAUAUUCCUCACGCCAGCAGGUGAGGAGGCUGGGGCCAGAUGACUGCUAGUGAGGGAGCAGAGACAAGACAGGCGAGCCUGUGACAGAGCGAGACCCUGUCUCAAAAAACAAAAACAAGACAUGUGAGCUUGGACUCCAGUGUGGAAUCCCAUGUCCGCUCAGUGCACCUUUCUCCCGCUGAAAGUACAAGAGGAGAGGGGAAACCCACAGGUGGAGCUGACCAUGAGGACUGUCACAGGUGAGCUCAGGGGCUUGGGCGCCACCCCACAGGCCAUGGGGGGCUGCUGACCAACUCUGGGAGUGACAUCAUGAGGAAUGUGGCAUUUUAGGACAGUUGCCUUCUUAAUGAAGAGGACUCUUCUGAGUCUGGUGUAGCCAGGGGUAGCAGGAGCCAGCUGACAUGGGUAUGAGGGCUACUCCCUGACCCUCUCGGGAGGGUGUUACUAGCAGCAGCCACUGCAGCGCUGAGCCCCAGAAACACCACUGUGGAGGCUUACAGUGCCUUCUCGGAGCUACCCAGCUUUCCUUCACCAGGGGCUGGUCCUUGGUUCCCACCUGCUGCCAUUCUUCCAGCUUUGAGAGGCAAACCCAGAAAUCAGCCCUCCAGCUUCCUCUACCAAGAAGACUGGCAGUUACAACCCUGGCUCUGUGGGGCUUCUCUUGCCCUCUCUUCUGACUGCCCCACUUGGCUCCAGGUGAGGGUGAGAGGAAGCUGGAGAUGGAAGAUGCAGCUGGGGGAACUCACCAGGCAGGUCUCAGGUGAGAAGGGUGGGUGGGGAACCCGGCCCUGGCCCAGAGAACUGGAACUGUCCAGCAACCCUGGGGAAGGUGAAAAACCACCACUGAGUAGGCAGUGACCUGUUGGGUGUCGGUGAGGGGAGCCCAUGGGCUGCAAAAGGCACAUUGGGGUCUCCCUCUUCCCAUUCACACUUCACCCUCCAGUCACCCCAGCUUGGCCCAGGGCCAGGCAGGGGAGGCGCUGAUCGGUCAUCAGUAAUGCCGCGAUCACAGUUUUCAGAGCUCCUUCCCUGCCUUAGCCUUCUUGAUCCCUCAACAGCUCCUUGCAGGAGGGAGGUAGGGCAAGCUUUGUCUUAGUUUACAGAUAUGGAAACUGAGGCUCAGAGAGCUCAUAUGACUUCUCAAAGCCAUGCAGUUGAUGAGGGACAGAGUGAGGUCUAAAUGCAGGACCUCCCAAGAAUGGUGGACUUUUCCUCUCUGCCUUGUCCCCCCACUUCCUCUGUCAACUCUAGGAAAAUUGGUCUGGGGACCCCUGCAAAGGCACAGAUGGGAAUAAGCACCUUGGUCAAAGGAUGAUAAGGAAAAUGGUGGACAGAUGGGUUGAAGAAGGAUUGCUUGAUUGAAUUAUUGAGACCUUAUUUCCCUGAGCCUCCAUCAGGUGAUCCUUAUAUCUGUCCUGGAACACUAGACCACCCAGAAACAGGUGCAGCAGCCCAGGUCAGCCCAGGCUGCUCAGUCUGCUCCUCCUCUUGCCUCUCCUCCUCCAGGGAACUCUUUGAAUAAGAGGACACCAGAUCAUGCCUGCAGUUCCAGACCAGGGUGAGGUUGAAACACUUAUGCUUCCUAUUUAAAGCCACAUCUCAUUCAUCAUUUCAGCACCAAUCAGCAAUUAAACCUGAUUCAAUGGAGCCCUGACAGCUAAUUUAAACCGAGCCUCACAAUCGGCCUGACACUGGCUAUUUAAGACUCUGUCCUGGCCUCUGGGGCCUUUCGGAACCAGGACUGUUUGUCCUGCCAAGAGCAAAGCCCCACCCGCUGUGGCCUGGAUCCCCAUGUAUGUAGUGUGCAGGGUCUGUUCCAGCCAUCACUGUCUCUGCCCGGCUCCCUAUAGGGCUGUGGGAGGGUUCUGGGAGAGGUUGGGAAUGCCAGGAGGAGGAAUUGGUGAAGCGAAGAAAAGGCAAAAGCCCACUGAGAGGUCUAAUGAGCCCCAGGUGCACACACUUGUGUUGUGUGUGGCUUUCUUCAGGCCCUGGGCAAAUGUGGCAGCCUGGGGUGUAUUGGGAGCAUCAGAACCCAGGUCAAGUCCUGACUCUGCAAUCCAUAAACCAGUUCCGUGACCUUGCCCAGGUCCUUCCUUAGUUUCCUCACCAGUGUGGUGAGAAUAACAAAGAUCUCUUCUCAAACCGUCUCCCUGGGAGUUAAGAGAUUCCCCCAUAUCCGGUGAUCCCAGGUAAAGCACAUGGAAAACCACCAAGUCCUAAAGCAUAGAAGUUCUGAGCAGAGCAGGCCUGAGCUUGUAUGGGGCCUGGUGCUGUGGGGCACCAUGGCAGAUUCCAGCCUGUGGUCAUUAUUGGGUUGCCUGGUGUCCCUAUGGCUCUCUAGCACUGAUGGAAAACAGCCUUAUAUCACUACGUGUGGACAAUAACCCCUCCAGGCUGAGAACUUGGUUUUCAGACUUGUGUAGUCAGAGACCUCUUCCUGAAGGCAGUGUACUUGAGCCAAGCUUUGGAGGCUGCAAUAAUUGAGUAAGUCGGCCAGGCUCACACCUAUAAUCCUAGCACUUUGGGAGGCCGAGGCAAGUGGAUCACCUGAGGUCAGGAGUUCGAGACUAGCCUGGCCAACAUGGUGAAACCCCAUCUUUACUAAAAAUAAAAAUAAAAAAAAUUAGCUGGGCAUGGUGGUGGGGGCCUAUAAGCCCAGCUACUCGGGAGACUUAGGCAGGAGAAUCGCUUGAACCCAGGGGGUGGAAGUUGCAGUGAGCCGAGAUCGUGCCACUUCACUCCAGCCUAGGUAAAAGAGCAAAACUCCAUCCAAAAAAAAAAAAAAAAAUUGAGUAAGCCUAGAAUGAGGGAAGCCAAACCAGGCAGAGCCACUUAGAGCUAGUAGAGCUUCCACAGCCAUUUCCUACUGGAUCCUCAAACACUCCUUUUUGAGCACAUUGAGAGUUUCAAAGAUCAGAUGGUUGUAGAUGUGUGGUAUUAUUUCUGAGGGCUCUGUUCUGUUCCAUUGAUCUAUAUCUCUGUUUUGGUACCAGUACCAUGCUGUUUUGGUUACUGUAGCCUUGUAGUAUAGUUUGAAGACAGGUAGCUUGAUGCCUCCAGCUUUGUUCUUUUGACUUAGGAUUGACUUGGCAAUGCGGGCUCUUUUUUGGUUCCAUAUGAACUUUAAAGUAGUUUUCUCCAAUUCUGUGAAGAAAGUCAUUGGUAGCCUGAUGGGGAUGGCAUUGAAUCCAUAAAUUACCUUGGGCAGUAUGGCCAUUUUCACGAUAUUGAUUCUUCCUAUCCCUGAGCAUGGAAUGUUCUUCCGUUUGUUUGUAUCCCCUUUUAUUUCAUUGAGCAGUGGUUUAUAGUCUCCUUGAAGAGGUCCUUCAUAUCCCUUGUAAGUUGGAUUCCUAGGUAUUUUAUUCUCUUUGAAGCAAUUGUGAAUGGGAGUUCACUCAUGAUUUGGUUCUCUGUUUGUCUGUUAUUGGUGUAUAAGAAUGCUUGUGAUUUUUGUACAUUGAUUUUGUAUCCUGAGACUUUGCUGAAGUUGCUUAUCAGCUUAAGGAGAUUUUGGGCUGAGACGAUGGGGUUUUCUAGAUAUACAAUCAUGUCAUCUGCAAACAGGGACAAUUUGACUUCCUCUUUUCCUAAUUGAAUACCCUUUAUUUCUUUCUCCUGCCCGAUUGCCCUGGCCAGAACUUCCAACACUAUGUUGAAUAGGAGUGGUGAGAGAGGGCAUCCCUGUCUUGUGCCAGUUUUCAAAGGGAAUGCUUCCAGUUUUUGCCCAUUCAGUAUGAUAUUGGCUGUGGGGUUGUCAUAAAUAGCUCUUAUUAUUUUGAGAUACGUCCCAUCAAUACCAAAUUUAUUGAGAGUUUUUAGCAUGAAGGGCUGUUGAAUUUUGUCAAAGGCCUUUUCUGCAUCUAUUGAGAUAAUCAUGUGGUUUUUGUAUUUGGUUCUGUUUAUAUGCCGGAUUACGUUUAUUGAUUUACAUAUGUUGAACCAGCCUUGCAUCCCAGGGAUGAAGCCCACUUGAGCAUGGUGGAUAAGCUUUUUGAUGUGCUGCUGGAUUUGGUUUGCCAGAAUUUUAUUGAGGAUUUUUGCAUCAAUGUUCAUCAGGGAUAUUGGUCUAAAAUUCUCUUUUUUUUGUUGUCUCUGCCAGGCUUUGGUAUCAGGAUGAUGCUGGCCUCAUAAAAUGAGUUAGGGAGGAUUCCCUCUUUUUGUAUUGAUUGGAAUAGUUUCAGAAGGAAUGGUACCAGCUCCUCCUUGUACCUCUGGUAGAAUUCAGCUGUGAAUCCGUCUGGUCCUGGACUUUUUUUGGUGGGUAAGCUAUUAAUUAUUGCCUCAAUUUCAGAGCCUAUUAUUGGUCUAUUCAGGGAUUCAACUUCUUCCUUGUUUAGUCUUGGGAGGGUGUAUGUGUUGAAGAAUUUAUCCAUUUCUUCUAGAUUUUCUAGUUUAUUUGCGUAGAAGUGUUUAUAGUAUUCUCUGAUGGUAGUUUGUAUUUCUGUGGGAUCGGUGGUGAUAUCUCCUUUAUCAUUUUUUAUUGCGUCUAUUUGAUUCUUCUCUCUUUUCUUCUUUAUUAAUCUUGUUAGCGGUCUAUCAAUUUUGUUGAUCUUUUCAAAAAACCAACUCCUGGAUUCACUGAUUUUUCUGAAGGGCUUUUUGUGUCUCUAUCUCCACUUGCCACUGAGAGCUUAAGACAGCAGGACACUGGCUGGGCUCUCCUGAUAUCACUUGCUCUGCCCCAUUCUGCCCCAUCCAAAGAGCAGGGAAUACCAGAAGUAGGGGGUAGGGAAACAGGAGAUGGGAAAGUGGAAGGACUCCAGCAGGGGUCCUUCGUCUACAUUCCUAGUGCAGACCCUUCUGGAAGGAAAAAUACAUACAAAAGGUGCAGUUGGGAGGCUGAAGGGCACCACCCAACCCUACCACUGCCAGGAACCUGAGCUGCCCCCGACAGAGUGAGAGCGGUCUCAUGGGUCCCCAAGCUCUCUGUGUGGCAGGAAACAAUAGCCACUUUUCUGGGGCCUCCAAGGAGAGGAGGAGUGAGAUCACACCUGGGGAGGGUGAAGGCAGAAAUACAGGAUAUGAGCAUCCUCCCAGGGGAGCAUGCGGAGCCAGGAGCAAGGCCUGGGGCUGGCUGCCUCCUCCCCAGUGUCCCUCCUUCAUCUAGGUUCCUGGGCCACACACUCUGGACUACCUGCCUCUGCUGGGAUUCUUCAAGGGUCUCACAGACCCAAGUAGACUGUAAGCUGCUUGAAAGCAGGUCCACGGCAUCAGACUGUGGUUCAGGGCUCGGGUCCUGGAGUAGGGCAGGCCAGAGGCUGACCUACUUACUAGCUGUGUGAUUUUAAGCCAGUCCCUUAACCUCCUUGAGAUUCUCCUGUGCAAUGAAGAUAAAAAUAGGACCUAUCUCAUGAGAUCAUUGGGAAAAGUAAAUGAGUUAAUCAGAGUAAGUGCUUAACAAAAAUAUGUCCAUUGCAUGUGCCCCCAGAGCAACUAGCACCAGCCUCAGCAUGGAGCAGGACUUCAGUUCCAGCAGCGAGGACUGAGAUCAGACACAAGAGAAAGCUCCCUGAUGAGGUGGGGUGAUUCUAAAACGAAGGGCGGAAAUUAUCUGGGGAAUUUCCUUCCCGUGAAGCCUCAGGAACAUGCCAGUCCCCCACUUCGGUCUGUCCUGGGGGGUCUCACGCCCCUGUCCUCCUAGGGAAAUCUAGAUCCUCCAAACUCUGCCUGGGUUCUUCCUGGGGAGUCUUGACCCCUGCCUUGUGGUUAAUGUGGGAUAGGGGACCCGGGAACAGGGCUGCCUUCCUCUGGCCAAAGCCUGGCAAGCAAGUGUGGGAUGGGUGCUGUCUUCCUGAGAGGGACAAUAGAAGUGACAGAGCCCCCUAAUUCAAGACCCUGCAGAGUUGGUGUGAGAUCUUAUAAUAUCAGUCUCUAAGCCAGUGCCUCUCAAGCUCUCUGUGGUGAAGAAUCAAUUUUUAAAAUAUAUAAUCAGUCACAGAUCAAUGCUUUUGUAAAAUGCAAUAAAAGUUAAUUUCCAAAAAAAUGAUCACAUACUUGGGUACCAUGGUAAUGUCAAUGUAAAAUUGCUGUAAAAUUGUUCUAAGUGCUUACUCUCAAUGUCUGUGCUCAGCUUAUCAGCAACCAGUAACAGUUUGUACCACUGGUUUGUACCACGACAACCAUGCUACACUUGGAGCUGAUACUUUCAUAAAGGUUAAUUUCCCUCUUUUC